AACCUUUACACUACGCGCAAGCGUGAUAAGGGAAUCCUAAGUGCUCAUGCACUGCAUGGGCUUUUGCCAAGGGUAAAAACCUUGGCGAAUAAGUGGUGGACAAGACUGGUGCCAGCCGCCGCGGUAACCCCAGCGCCACGAGUGGGGAUCGCAUUUAUUUGGCCUAAAGCGCCCGUAGCCGGGCUGUUUAAUCUGUUGUGAAAUCGUUGAGCUUAACUUAACGGCGUGCAGCAGACACUAGCAGCCUAGGGACUGGGAGGCGUCAGAUGUAUGCCAAGGGGAGCAGUAAAACAUACUCGCUUACACUCGUAGCUGUAAACGAGUGUUUACAGUGCUAUAAUCCUUGGUGGACAACCGGUGGCGAAGGCGUCUGACGAGAACAGGUCCGACGGUCAGGGGCGAAAGCUAGGGGAGCAAUCCGG
rnacentral:rRNA from 1 species